UUGACCUUUCCUUGGAAGCCAUAGCUGUCGAUUUGACGAAACCGGCACUGAAAUAACUUCUAUAAUGUCGGCUGCGUGGAGAGCGGCUGGGUUAAGCUACAUCCAGUAUUCUGGAAUAUGUGCCAAGGCUGUAAGGAGUGCUCUGAAGCCAGAGGUUCAGCAGCAAAUGGCAAAGAGAGGAGAAUCAAUCCUGAAAGUGACAAAAUGGGAAGGAGGAAAGCCUAUCAAUGGCAAUGGCAAUAGUUUUUAUAACUCUUGAUGUCGCCAGCCACAGAACAUGAGGUUGCUGACAAAGUGAGCUAACAUUGACUGAUGGAUUACGUUACUUAGUGUGUGUAUUUGCUGGUGUUAGGUGCGUGAUGAUCCGAAGAAGAUUUUUGACUUUACCAGGACCACUAAACAUUUCACCAUUGAGAAGACAUAAAAAUAAACCAGUUAAUACAGAAUUUGGAUGUUAAAUUAGAUUUCAAAUUUACAGUAGUCAGCUAUUUGUAAAUAAAUGGUGGAAAAGAU